rnacentral:rRNA from 1 species
UUUGCCUACGGGGGGCAGCAGUGGGGAAUAUUGGGCAAUGGGCGCAAGCCUGACCCAGCAACGCCGCGUGAAGGAAGAAGGCUUUCGGGUUGUAAACUUCUUUUGUCAGGGACGAAGCAAGUGACGGUACCUGACGAAUAAGCCACGGCUAACUACGUGCCAGCAGCCGCGGUAAUACGUAGGUGGCAAGCGUUAUCCGGUUUUAUUGGGUGUAAAGGGCGUGUAGGCGGGAAUGCAAGUCAGAUGUGAAAACUAUGGGCUCACACCAUAGCCUUCAUUUGAGACUGUAUUU